rnacentral:rRNA from 1 species
AACGAACGCAGGCGGCAGGCUUAACACAUGCAAGUCGAACGCCCCGCAAGGGGAGUGGCAGACGGGUGAGUAACGCGGAGGGAUCUACCGUACCCUACGGAACAACAGUGGGAAACGACUGCUAAUACCGUAUGUGCCCUUCGUGGGACAAAUGUAUCGGUAAAGGAUCGGCCCGCGUUGGAUUAGCUAGUUGGUGGGGUAAAGGCCUACCAAGGCGACGAUCAGUAGCCGGUCUGAGAGGUUGAUCGGCCACAUUGGGACUGAGACACGGCCCAAACUCCUACGGGAGGCAGCAGUGGGGAAUAUUGGACAAUGGGGGCAAGCCUGAUCCAGCCAUGCCGCGUGUGUGAUGAAGGACUUAGGGAUGUAAAGCACUUUCAGCGGGGAAGAAAAUGACGGUAUCCGGAGAAGAAGCCCCGGCUAACUUCGUGCCAGCCGCCGCCGUAA